ACCCGCACAAGCGGUUGGAUGAUGUGGAUUAAUUCGAUGCAACGCGAGAACCUUACUACCCUUGACAUGUCCGGAACUUGCCAGAGAUGGCUUGGUGCCCGAAAGGGAAUCGGAACACAGGUGCUGCAUGGCUGUCGUCAGCUCGUGUCGUGAGAUGUUGGGUUAAGUCCCGCAACGAGCGCAACCCUUAUCAUUAGUUGCUACGCAAGGGCACUCUAAUGAGACUGCCGGUGACAAACCGGAGGAAGGUGGGGAUGACGUCAAGUCCUCAUGGCCCUUAUGGGUAGGGCUUCACACGUCAUACAAUGGUCGGUACAGAGGGUUGCCAAGCCGCGAGGCGGAGCCAAUCCCACAAAGCCGAUCGUAGUCCGGAUUGUUCUCUGCAACUCGAGAGCAUGAAGUCGGAAUCGCUAGUAAUCGCAGGUCAGCAUACUGCGGUGAAUACGUUCCCGGGUCUU
rnacentral:rRNA from 1 species